rnacentral:rRNA from 1 species
UACGUAGGUGGCAAGCGUUGUCCGGAAUUAUUGGGCGUAAAGCGCGCGCAGGCGGUCCUUUAAGUCUGAUGUGAAAGCCCACGGCUCAACCGUGGAGGGUCAUUGGAAACUGGGGGACUUGAGUGCAGGAGAGAAGAGUGGAAUUCCACGUGUAGCGGUGAAAUGCGUAGAGAUGUGGAGGAACACCAGUGGCGAAGGCGACUCACUGGCCCGGUACUGACGCUGAGGCACGAAAGCGUGGGGAGCAAACAGG